UACAGAGGUCUCAAGCGUUGUUCGGAUUCAUUGGGCGUAAAGGGUGCGUAGGCGGCGCGGUAAGUCGGGUGCGAAAUCUCGGAGCUUAACUCCGAAACUGCAUUCGAUACUGCCGUGCUUGAGGACUGGAGAGGAGACUGGAAUUUACGGUGUAGCGGUGAAAUGCGUAGAUAUCGUAAGGAAGACCAGUGGCGAAGGCGGGUCUCUGGACAGUUCCUGACGCUGAGGCACGAAGGUCAGGGGAGCAAACGGG
rnacentral:rRNA from 1 species